CAGUAGCCGCGGUAAUACGUAGGUGGCAAGCGUUGUCCGGAAUUAUUGGGCGUAAAGCGCGCGCAGGCGGUUUCUUAAGUCUGAUGUGAAAGCCCCCGGCUUAACCGGGGAGGGUCAUUGGAAACUGGGAGACUUAGAGUGCAGAAGAGGAGAGUGGAAUUCCAUAUGUAGCGGUGAAAUGCGUAGGUAUAUGGAGGAACACCAGUGGCGAAGGCGACUCUCUGGUCUGUAACUGACGCUGAGGCGCGAAAGCGUGGGGAGCAAACAGGAUUAGAUACCCCCGUAGUCCCUGUCUCUUAUA
rnacentral:rRNA from 1 species